rnacentral:rRNA from 1 species
GACGAACGCUGGCGGGGGGAGGAAAAAAGGCAAGUCGAACGGAAAGGCCCUGCUUUUGUGGGGUGCUCGAGUGGCGAACGGGUGAGUAACACGUGAGUAACCUGCCCUUGACUUUGGGAUAACUUCAGGAAACUGGGGCUAAUACCGGAUAGGAGCUCCUGCUGCAUGGUGGGGGUUGGAAAGUUUCGGCGGUUGGGGAUGGACUCGCGGCUUAUCAGCUUGUUGGUGGGGUAGUGGCUUACCAAGGCUUUGAAGGGGAGCCGGCCUGAGAGGGUGACCGGCCACAUUGGGACUGAGAUACGGCCCAGACUCCUACGGGAGGCAGCAGUGGGGAAUAUUGCACAAUGGGCGGAAGCCUGAUGCAGCAACGCCGCGUGCGGGAUCCCGGCCUUCGGGUUGUAAACCGCUUUCGCCUGUGACGAAGCGUGAGUGACGGUAAUGGGUAAAGAAGCACCGGCUCCCUACGUC